rnacentral:rRNA from 1 species
GACGAACGCUGGCGGCGUGCUUAACACAUGCAAGUCGAACGGAAAGGCCCUGCUUGCUGGGUACUCGAGUGGCGAACGGGUGAGUAACACGUGGGUGAUCUGCCCUGCACUUCGGGAUAAGCCUGGGAAACUGGGUCUAAUACCGGAUAGGAGCCACUUUUAGUGUGAUGGUUGGAAAGUUUUUUCGGGGUAGGAUGAGCUCGCGGCCUAUCAGCUUGUUGGUGGGGUAAUGGCCUACCAAGGCGGCGACGGGUAGCCGGCCUGAGAGGGUGGACGGCCACAUUGGGACUGAGAUACGGCCCAGACGCCUACGGGAGGCAGCAGUGGGGAAUAUUGCACAAUGGGCGCAAGCCGGAUGCAGCGACGCCGCGUGGGGGAUGACGGCCUUCGGGUUGUAAACUCCUUUCGCUAGGGACGAAGCUUUUUGUGACGGUACCUAGAUAAGAAGCACCGGCUAACUACGUG